rnacentral:rRNA from 1 species
CCUACGGGUGGCUGCAGUGGGGAAUAUUGCACAAUGGGCGCAAGCCUGAUGCAGCGACGCCGCGUGAGCGAUGAAGGCCUUCGGGUCGUAAAGCUCUGUCCUAAGGGAAGAAUAAUGACGGUACCUUAGGAGGAAGCCCCGGCUAACUACGUGCCAGCAGCCGCGGUAAUACGUAGGGGGCGAGCGUUAUCCGGAAUCACUGGGCGUAAAGGGUGCGUAGGCGGCCCUGCAAGUCAGGAGUUAAAUCCCUCGGCUCAACCGAGGUCAGCUCUUGAAACUGGGAGACUUGAGUGCAGAAGAGGAAAGCGGAAUUCCACGUGUAGCGGUGAAAUGCGUAGAGAUGUGGAGGAACACCAGUGGCGAAGGCGGCUUUCUGGUCUGUAACUGACGCUGAGGCGCGAAAGCGUGGGGAGCGAACAGGAUUAGAUACCCGUGUAGUC